ACUCAUACCUUGUAAGAGAAAUACCAUGUCAUAAAAAUGGUUUUCUCAGGGGGAGGUUCAUCCAUUACACUUGGGGUGUGUUGCUGAUCCAUGUGAUUUCCCCAAAUGUGGGGAACUUAGCUGCAUAAUUUAUGUUAAUGU
rnacentral:snRNA from 1 species